GAUGAACGCUGGCGGCAGGCUUAACACAUGCAAGUCGAGCGGGGUGAUGGUGCUUGCACUAUCACUUAGCGGCGGACGGGUGAGUAAUGCUUAGGAAUCUGCCUAUUAGUGGGGGACAACAUCUCGAAAGGGAUGCUAAUACCGCAUACGUCCUACGGGAGAAAGCAGGGGAUCACUUGUGACCUUGCGCUAAUAGAUGAGCCUAAGUCGGAUUAGCUAGUUGGUGGGGUAAAGGCCUACCAAGGCGACGAUCUGGAGCGGGUCUGAGAGGAUGAUCCGCCACACUGGGACUGAGACACGGCCCAGACGCCUACGGGAGGCAGCAGUGGGGAAUAUUGGACAAUGGGGGGUACCCUGAUCCAGCCAUGCCGCGUGUGUGAAGAAGGCCUUAUGGUUGUAAAGCACUUUAAGCGAGGAGGAGGCUCUUUUGGUUAAUACCCAAGAUGAGUGGACGUUACUCGCAGAAUAAGCACCGGCUAACUCUGUGCCAGCCGCCGCCGUAA
rnacentral:rRNA from 1 species